rnacentral:tRNA from 1 species
GAUGAAUAGCUUAGUGGUUAAGCUCCCUUUUUCCAAACUUGAGAUCGCAGGUUCGAGGCCUGCUUGCUAUUA